UGGGGAAUUUUGGACAAUGGGGGCAACCCUGAUCCGGCAAUGCCGCGUGCAGGAAGAAGGCCUUCGGGUUGUAAACUGCUUUUGUACGGAACGAAAAGGCUCUGGUUAAUACCUGGGGCACAUGACGGUACCGUAAGAAUAAGCACCGGCUAACUACGUGCCAGCCGCCGCGGUAAUACGUAGGGUGCAAGCGUUAAUCGGAAUUACUGGGCGUAAAGCGUGCGCAGGCGGUGCUGUAAGACAGGCGUGAAAUCCCCGGGCUGAACCUGGGAAUGGCGCUUGUGACUGCAGUGCUGGAGUGUGGCAGAGGGGGAUGGAAUUCCGCGUGUAGCAGUGAAAUGCGUAGAUAUGCGGAGGAACACCGAUGGCGAAGGCAAUCCCCUGGGCCUGCACUGACGCUCAUGCACGAAAGCGUGGGGAGCAAACAG
rnacentral:rRNA from 1 species